rnacentral:RNase_P_RNA from 1 species
CCAGACAGCCGGACGACCGCUGCCGGCGGGGCAAUCCCGUUGGUGGAGGAAAGUCCGGGCUCCACGGGAACACGGUGCCGGCUAACGGCCGGCGGGGGCGACCCCAGGGACAGUGCCACAGAAAACAAACCGCCCGCGCAAGACCGGUUCGCCGGUCCCUCGGGCAAGGGCGAAACGGUGCGGUAAGAGCGCACCGCGCCCCUGGUAACAGGGGCGGCACGGUAAACCCCACCGGGAGCAAGACCGAAUAGGAGAGGCUGCGAUGUCACGAUAUCGUGAUAAUCGUGGGGACGUUCCCGUCCCGCCGCUCGGGUUGGUCGCGUGAGGCGCAUCGCAAGAUGCGUCCCAGAGGAAUGGUCGUCCCGUCCCGCAAGGGGCGGACAGAACCCGGCUUACAGGCUGUCUGGCGUU